GGACUGGCAUUUAAUCACGCAGCGCGCGGGCUGCUGAUGGCCAUGGAGUCCAACUGAUGACCCACGUGGUCUGCCACAGUGCAGGGGAUGGCUGGGAGGCCCAGGCACGCGGCUGUUUAACCCUUUCUAGCCAUGUGUCACAGCACCGAAUCCAGCAGCUGAAUUCUAGACCUACCCACAGAAGGAUCCCUCCUGGGCCAGCAAGAUCCUGAGGAAGGCUCCAGACAUCAUCACCAAGCGACUGAGGCGCUGAUCAAAGGGGAGAGCCUGCCCGAAGGGCAACCAGCCAGCCUGUGGUGAGGGAAAUAAGCAGAAGAAAGCAGGAAAAUGACUCCCAGUGAGGCAGCUACCAAACUGGAACUGGCCAGACUGGAAGCAGCAGAGAAGGCAAAGGACCAGGAGUUUCAAAUGUGGCCGGCAAAAAUGAAGUUCAAAGCAGCAGCUGUGGCCAGGGAAACUAUGGAGGCAGAGGCAGCCGGGGAGGCAGCCAGAGAGGACGGUGCACAGAGAAGGGCCCGGGAAGAGUGAGUGAGUGAAAACACCACCUGGACUUGCUAAGGAAACAGAAGUUCCAGAGGCUCCCAACCCCAAUGACUCCCAUCACUCCAAAAAGCCGCAAGUGGGGACACUUAUGUCCUGCACACAGUGAGGAGGAGACUAUUGCUGAAUGUCUGACUACCUUCGAAAGGCUGUGUGCAAUACAUGAAAUCCCUGAUGAUCAGAGAGUUCCUUCCCUGAUUGUGAAAUUAACUGGGGCGGGUCCAAUGCCUGUGGUAACAGGAGCUGGGACCAGGAAAUUGCCAGGGGGUAGUUUGCCAGAAUGCAAAUGACCCAACUGACAGCGAAGGGGGUGUUUUCCCCCGGGCUGUGAGACACAGAGCAGUGAUGGGGAAGCUGUUGGAGAAAGGUGCAUCUGAUCAAAGGGUAAACAUGCCUAGCCCAGAGAGCACAGAUCAUAGGAAAAGGGGGAAGGGAAGGACUCAGUGCUGGGAGGGGGAAACACCAGGUAACCCCAAAAAGGGAGCUGGAUUUUUCGUAUAUGUACAAUCCUGGGGUUGGGAGACCACUCCCCAAAGAGCCAGCCAACGUGCAGGAUCCCCCUGGACACCCAUCCUGCCAGCCUUGAGGUACCAACAUUCCAGAAACGUGAUUAAAUGAAGAACCCACACAGGGGAGAACAAUGGAGGGAGGGAAAAGCCAGCGACAGAUUACAUGGGAGAGAGUCAAAGGACACCCUGGUUAAUGAACAAACUAACCUCAAACUGCACUGUCUGAACAGAGGGCGCGGUAACAUAAAGAUACUUGUAAGCUCACAUCUGUGAUAAACAUUUUGGUAUUAAUGUUAAGUUUUGGGGAUAAGAAUUUUGACACGGAUGUUAAACCUUGUGAUAACGCUACUUUUCAAUGACUAACUGCAAACAGACUUAAAGCUGACCACAGCGGACAAGCCAUAACAAACCUGGUUUGCUAGGUGAAGGGGAAACUGAGGCACACAGCCUCAUGGCCUUAAUGGCUGGCUGCCAAGAGAACUAUAACACAAACUUCCUUCCAGAUAGUCAGUGACUCGCCCUCUUGCAGUAAACUAAGUGGAGAGGUUCUGUACCUUGGGGAACACCCUGCACCCCCAUGUUCAUCCUUAUAAUAUGAUUGUGUGGUGUCCAAUGCAAAGUUUGUC